rnacentral:rRNA from 1 species
AGCGAACGCUGGCGGCAGGCCUAACACAUGCAAGUCGAACGAACUCUUCGGAGUUAGUGGCGGACGGGUGAGUAACACGUGGGAACGUGCCUUUAGGUUCGGAAUAACUCAGGGAAACUUGUGCUAAUACCGAAUGUGCCCUUCGGGGGAAAGAUUUAUCGCCUUUAGAGCGGCCCGCGUCUGAUUAGCUAGUUGGUGAGGUAAAGGCUCACCAAGGCGACGAUCAGUAGCUGGUCUGAGAGGAUGAUCAGCCACAUUGGGACUGAGACACGGCCCAAACUCCUACGGGAGGCAGCAGUGGGGAAUCUUGCGCAAUGGGCGAAAGCCUGACGCAACCAUGCCGCGUGAAUGAUGAAGGUCUUAGGAUUGUAAAAUUCUUUCACCGGGGACGAUAAUGACGGUACCCGGAGAAGAAGCCCCGGCUAACUUCGU